GACGAACGCUGGCGGCGUGCUUAACACAUGCAAGUCGAACGGUGAAAGCGGAGCUUGCUCCGCUGGAGCAGUGGCGAACGGGUGAGUAACACGUGGGCAACCUGCCCCUCACUUCGGGAUAACUCCGGGAAACCGGGGCGAAUACCGGAGACGACGUUUGCGGGCCUCCGCGAGGGUGGAAAGGUUUUCGGUGACGGAUGGGCCCGCGGCCUGUCAGCUUGUUGGUGAGGUAGUGGCUCACCAAGGCGACGACGGGGAGCCGGCCUGAGCGGGCGACAGGCCACACUGGGACUGGGACACGGCCCAGACUCCUACGGGAGGCAGCAGUGGGGAAUAUUGCGCAAUGGGCGAAAGCCUGACGCAGCAACGCCGCGUGCGGGAUGACGGCCUUCGGGUUGUAAACCGCAUUCAGCAGGGAGAAGCCGAAAGGUGACGGUACCUGCAGAAGAAGCACCGGCUAACUACGUGCCAGCCGCCGCCGUAA
rnacentral:rRNA from 1 species